rnacentral:rRNA from 1 species
UACGAAGGGGGCUAGCGUUGUUCGGAAUUACUGGGCGUAAAGGGCGCGUAGGCGGCCCACCAAGUCAGAUGUGAAAGCCCCGGGCUUAACCUGGGAAUAGCAUUUGAGACUGAUGGGCUUGAGUUCCGGAGAGGUGGGUGGAAUUCCCAGUGUAGAGGUGAAAUUCGUAGAUAUUGGGAAGAACACCGGUGGCGAAGGCGGCCCACUGGACGGACACUGACGCUGAGGCGCGAAAGCGUGGGGAGCAAACAGG